ensembl:snoRNA
AUCCUUUGUAGUUUACGAGAGUGACGAUUGGGUGUUCAUGUGCAAUGUGUGCAUUGAUACCACGAUGGCACAUUACUCGUCUGACG